AGUAAGCUCACCUAAAAGAUAAUGGGGGGAAAAAUGGGAUCUUUAUAAAAUUAAUGCCUCUAUAUCUCUCACCUACACAGUCACAAUCAAUUUGUUUUUUAAUAAUCCACUACUUGACUCUAUUAAAGCCAAAUUUUUAUAUGUCAAACUCUUCUAGCUAUUCUGAAUGCUGUUUCCUGUCUUUACAAAGGAUAACCUGUACUGGCAUAUGGCAAAAGGAAAUGGGAAGGGUGCAGAAGUAAGUGACUUAAGGAAUGGGAGAAGGACUUGCAAAGGACAGUGUGGGACUGAUGAGCGUUGAGAGGUAGAAAUGGGACUGUUGCCAAGUGUACAUCAAACUACACUUGUGUGUUACACUUGAUCUGGUCUAAGAAAAGGUCUUUCUUGGAGGAGUGGUCAUGGCCUGUAACGGUCCAAAGCUAUCAUGAUCCCAGAUAUGGGUGCAAAAUCUGGAAUGAUUUAUUGAACACGUAAGUGCUAUUUAAGGGUCUCGGGGACUUACAUGCUAAUGAGGAGGCAGGGUUAUUCUGAACAGGGGUUUCCACAAUCUAUUAGCGUUUCCAGUAACAGGGGUGACAUAAGGGGAAAAAUGGAUUUACAUUUCUCAGAUACAGUAUUUACAUUUUGGGGUAAAAGGUUUGAUAUUUCCAGUAAGCAGGGUUACAUUGGGGAAGGGUGAUCAGCUUUUACCCCAAAGAAGGAUUUACACAGGGAGGGAGAAAACAAUGGGAUAUCUGAUAGCAUCAUGCAAAGUCUCUCUACAUCCUGCUGGGGGAGAUCAGGACAAUGGAUCUUGUCUGGUCUUUUAGAUGGUGGUUUUUCCUCAGCCCCUGUGGCCUAAGGUUUCCUGUUUAAUCCAAUCAGUUCCUUUUCUUUUGGUAUCCAGUUCAGACUGCAACAAUGGCCCUUCACUGGUAGUGGUACUGAUGAUUGAAGGGUGAGCUGGUUCAAUGUGCUAACCCGCUAGAAAAUUAACUUUUUAAAGAAGAUAAAUAGCUCACCUACAGAAGUUAACCAGUGAGAACACUGGUGAAUAAAAGAAGGGUGGAAGACAGGAACAUUAGGAUCUUGCUGUCACAGUCUUACUACUUUUCUUUCACAGUUUAUAAAGCUUUGGGGGCUGUGAGGUGCCACAUUUGGCUUAGAUCUUCUUAACUGACAUCUGUUGCAACCAGAUUUCAACCAAAUUCCUUUGCUAGUAAGUUUAGAGGAAACAGCCCCCCCAAGAUCACACCUUUUUUGGAUGUCUUUUGACUUUAAAUUACCACUCACUUUUUCUUUACAAAAAUAAAGCUGAUGUGUGAUCCCUCAGCCCUGAAGUCCAAACAGUAAACUGGACUGAUAAUGCUCCCGUAGCAUUAAGGUCCACCUUUUCUGGGCCUGAGUUAUAGCUGCUGGGUUCUAGAAGUACAAAGCCACUGCCUGAGAUUAUGUCAGGGUACUUGCUGACAAGCAGAGUAGUCAUAUCCAUAGAUGGAUACAAAAUACUUGAGAAUGUAAAUACGUUUAGUAGGAAGCAAAAAGGAUUCCUCCAUCCUUACUGUGUUGCAGGAAAGGGCUUUCGGAUUGCCAUUCAUUGAACAGACAAUGUAAAAAGCACUUUCCACAGGGAAGGAAUGAUGUACCAUAAAGACCAGAACAUCUUAAAGUCUCUAUUAUCCUUACUGAGAGCUCAGGUAACAGAAGAAGGUCUUGCCUUAUUUCUCCUAGGGAGUUACCUUGUACUAGACCCCCUGCAGAAUAAAGAUUUGAUACCUGGAAGAAUCAAUCCAUUUUCAACAGAAGAUGGCACUGCAUAAAUAGUCUUAAAUAAAAUAUGGAACUGUGUAUUGUUAGAGCUGCAUGAAGGCUACAGCCAAAUUCCUUUCAAAUUAUGAGAAUGAAGAAAACUAAACUGAUGAACUUCUGCAUCUUGUUAGCGUGCAAUCCAUUACCAGAACUGAACAGAGGAGAAGGCUAAUUUCUGGGCUGGGAGGCACUAUCUAACCUAGAGAUUAUCAAAUCUAGGUAGUUAUGUUCCUAAAUGUAUGAAGUUAUAUGGAAAACACUAUUGACCCUGGAAGAGGCUCCUACGAUGAAGUGGAUGUAAGAUGCCCUUGAAGUGUUGCAAAAAAGGAAUGUAGAGAAUAGCUUCAUGGUUAAUGAUUGCAGCUAUGAGCUGUGGGAGAGAAGGGAGACUCCAAUUAAAAUAACUACUGGGUUUUUUUUGUCAAAACAGGCACACAGAAAGUAAACAAUAGUAUCAGAAGGCCAGAAACUGAAUGGGUUUGCUGCUAAUGCUGACUGACCUGAUUUGCAGUGAAGAUGGGUCUGUUCUCCUUGAGGGUAGUGACCUUGUAAGCACAUGACCCAGUAUUUAUGACAACUGUAAUCUUUCACCAUAAAUGCUCAAUAGCUGCUACUGUGUAAUAACUCAGUGUUGCUCUAGAGAAACACACCAAGAGCUGCUGUAUAAAUAUGAAAUGGCAUUAGGUUUCAGAAAAGCAACUAUUAGUUGAACUAAUUAGGUUGUCCAGUGGCUCCAUCCAACUUUGAACACCAGAUCGCAGUAAAGACAGAGCUCUGUAGCUUUCAUAUCCCAGACAAGUUCCUGGGGAAAAUUUUUCAAGUAGAGCCACUGACAGCUGCUGUAAAAGGUGGAUAGGAGCAUCUUUAGCAUCUUCAGGUAAGAUUUACUACAUUGAUUUGCUGGUAUAUUCCUGGAGUGGGUGAGGUAGGCUGUGGUUAUUAGAUGAAAUAGAAUAAGUCAUUACCCAGUAAUUGCUGACUGUAUUCCAAUCUGUUAGCAAUACAUGUUUUUUCUCAUUUACCUCUAGCAUGUUUUCCAUCUGCGAUGACAGAAGCUGUAAAUAGCCCUCGAGGGAGAGAAGGGAAUCUACAUGGUUGCGGUUGCUCUGUGACAGAAGAAAAACAUGUUGUAAAGGACAGUUAUUUUACAUAAAAGGAGUUCCAGCUGAUCAUCUCCUCGGUGUGGACAGCAGUCAUCCAAAGCUUCCUGACACGCUUUCAGAUCAACAUCCUGAAGAUACAAACAAAACAGUUCUAUUACGUAACACACUGUCAAAAUCAAUCUUUAAAAUGCACUUUUUUCUUUUUUCUACAGCUAUAGCAUUUCAAAUAAAGAUAUACACUGAACAGGU